rnacentral:RNase_P_RNA from 1 species
GGUAGAGAGCGAAGGGGAAACCUCGGUUAAACCCAGGAAAGUCCGCCCACCUAAGAAAGGCCACUCAUCGCAAGGUGAGAAUCAGAAAUGGUUGUCUCUGGCUCAGAAACGACACGUCCAUACAUCGGGAUGAAAAUGGCGAAGUUUGUUGAGAAACAGACAAGUUAACCCAAAGACUAUGUUGUAUGGGAACGAUGAAACGGCGAAUACUGGCUGGUGCAAGUUGUUACAACGCUUAGUAGAAUGCUCUUACAGAUGGUCUGAAUACAGCAUCUGACAAAAGGCGGCUUAUUCCACCCUACC